AGACACCCCUCCUCGAUGCCUGGAAACAGUCUGCUCCUGUCUGCCUUUAGAUCAAAAGGUAGAACUCUCAGCUCCUCCAGCCUCACGUGGGGCAGUGAGCAGUUCUGACAGCCGGAUUCCAGGAGAACAACCACCUCGGAACGGAACCCCGGAGACCCACUGAACAUCUGCUCAGAAGGGACGUUCUAUAACAAAGCACAAUGACACGCUGAUGAGACGUGAAGACAAGCCAAGUGCCAUUUCUCUGCCUAAGGGUCCCUAAGGAAGCCACACAGCGAGGACAUGAGAUAGGGGCUCGUGAUUUCGUGUGUUCAAUUCUGCUUUGAAGACACUUGGGAUAAGGAACCCAGAUGAGUUGCCUCAUCCUGCCUCUUCCAGCUGUGCCCUGGAUCCAACCUCCAGCCGCUCCUCCACUCCACAUCCCAGUUCAGCUGAUGACCCAACACCUACACGAACCACAACCAUCUGAACCAUAAGUGCAGGGCAGUUGUGCCCGAGAAGCACAUGCUGUCUCCUCAGAGAAAGCACAUCUCUGCUCACCCAGGCCUGAGGUACCCACAGGAUGUGGAUGCCAAACGGCGAGAAGACUCAUGCUGAAGGGAUGGAUGGGCACGUCUCCAGAAGACUCGUGCUUGGUUCUAGCUAAUCUCUAAUGACUUGAUGGGCAGCUUCUGAGCAUAUUUAUGAGCAGUGAAGAACUCGGCACUGGGCACUGUUCAAAGCCACAGCCCGACUCCAAGGAGGACAGGUGGCCUUCACAAGAAAAAGCAGUGUUUGCUUA